GAUGCGGUGGCCUAAUGGUUGGUGCGUUGGACUCUGGAUCGAGCGGUCCGGGCUUGAGCCCUGGCCUGGAUCA